rnacentral:piRNA from 1 species
UAAAAAUCCACAGGAUUAAGAUUAGGGA